UGGCGUGAAGAAAUUCAUGACUUGGUCAAAUCCUAGCACAGAGAUUGUGCUCUCACCAGUUCUUAAAUUUGUCAGGCUGGAGAAUAUGGUUGUGUGAUACCUUUUCUGCAACUACCUUAAUUGCUUUCAUGGCAAAGUAACUUCAGGAAAGUGUUUAAUUAUUUUUCAGAUGGCUUUCAGUGAUAUAUACCAGCUGCAAACAGGGAGCAGAGCCAGCCCCAUGUGGCUGUCCCGCUGAACAGAAAACAUCCAGUGCUCCUGCAACAGCACUCCAGGCCAAUUUGCACAAACCCUGAAGUGUGAAAGUUCAGGUUACACUUGCACGCCUUCUGGGUGAUGAGGAUGAGGACCUUCAGGCGAGCUGUAAGCUGCCGCAGCCCCUGAAGCCACCAGUGAGAAGAGCACUUUGGCCCUCGAACUUCACUAAGAGCAGUUACCGUCAGUUGCCGUCACCUAACAAGAGGAAGACUUCUCCUCCACACAGCGUGCUGUGGUACACCCAAGAGCUGCAGGGCAGUACAGCCGAGAGCUCCGAGGGGACUGGCAGAGGGCUGGCACCUGGCCACUGGGGCGCAGUGGGGCAGCUGGGCCUGAUCCUCCACAAGGUGACGGCCCAUUUUGAACAGCAGGAUUCUGUGAGCGGCCACCCCGGCGGCUGCCCUGCUGCCCACCUAACAACCGGCAGGGGCCGGGCAGCACCGUGCUGGACCCUAUCUUGUGCAGGCACCACCAAGGGCUCGGCCACCAUGCUGUGAUGACAGCCCAGAGGGGCGCUGGGAGGGAGAUGCAUAGCCACCACAGGCGUGUCAUCCAUGUGUCCAGGAUUACAGCCUGGAGGCGCAGGGGAUGCUCCUGGACAGGCGCUUGGACCAAUGCAUUUUUUCCACUAUGAAAAGGACACCUAAGACCAAAAGGGAGCCAAUGCCCCUGCUUGCUGCAAUUUCUCCCCGACGCAGCCGGCGCGACAAUGCUCCGCUGACCAAAGUGCAGGCCCCAAGAGCUGCCGCUUGCACCGACCGCUCCGCUGAGGCUCCCGGCGGGGAGAAAGUAACUGUCACGUUGUGAGGUAUUGUGAAAAUGGGAACCAUUUUUGUCUUGUCCAGUAAACCUGAGGUAAGUAUACCAUCUUUGCAGAAUGUGAUCAGGAAGGAAAAAAAAAAAAAAA
rnacentral:lncRNA from 1 species